CUGCUUCAUCUAAACAUCGCAUAUACAGACUCCAGCCCGGACGUGGAAACCUUAAGUAUUUAAAAUGAACCAAGUUAACUGUGAGUUAUGGCAAGUUGGUGCUUUAGCAGUGUGAUCCAAUAAAUUGGCCUCCAAGUCCAAAAAUGAGCAAAGAAACUGUCUUCAGGAAGGGAGAACUUACUAGGAUGUUGGUUGCAAUAGGAGUUAAGCUUGUAAAUUUCCUUGAGGACAGAGAUCGCGUCUUCUAAAUCCUUAGUACCGUCUCCAACGCUCAGUAUGUACUCAAUGUAUCUUUUAAUUAAUUUAUUUAUUGAUUACUUUUUGUCCGUUCUAGUGUGCAUGUUUGGGUGGGUGUAUGUUGGGGGGAACAAAGAUGUUGGUCAACAGAGAAGGAGCAUUUUGGGGAAGUUUUCAGUCCAUUUUCACAAAAGAUAUAGUAACAGUGGUUUUCUAUUGGCACAUGCAGCUGUAACUGAAGGAAUUUAGAAGGCAGAAAUAAACGGUCUCUGAGUAAUAA